UCAGAACGAACGCUGGCAGCGUGGAUUAGGCAUGCAAGUCGAACGGGAUCCGGAAGGCAGCAAUGUCGGCCGGUGAGAGUGGCGGAAGGGCGAGGAACACGUGGGCAACCUGUCCUUGAGGUGGGGGAAAACCGUCUGGAAACGGAGGCGUAAUACCGAAUGCGGCGCGCGGGGGCAUCCCCUGCGCGCCAAAGGGGGCCGCAAGGCUCUCCCUCAUCGAGGGGCUCGCGCACCAUCAGCCUGUUGGCGGGGUAACGGCCCACCAAGGCUCACGGUUAGCUGGCCUGAGAGGAUGGCCAGCCGCACUGGGACUGAGAUACUGCCCAGACUCCUACGGGAGGCUGCAGUCGAGGAUCAUUCGCAAUGGGGGAAACCCUGACGAUGCGACGCUGCGUGGAAGGAUGAAGGCCCUCGGGUCGUAAACUCCUGUCAUGAGGGAAAAGGCGCGGGGGCCCCACACGCCCCUUAGUUGAUGGUACCUCAAGAGGAAGAGACGGCUAACUCUGUGCCAGCCGCCGC
rnacentral:rRNA from 1 species